GACGAACGCUGGCGGCGUGCUUAACACAUGCAAGUCGAACGGUGAACCCCUGCGGAGGGGAUCAGCGGCGAACGGGUGAGUAACACGUGGGCAACCGUCCCCCGGCCCUGGGAUAACUCUAAGUAAUUGGGACUAAGACCGGAAGCUCACCGCUUCCCGCAUGGGUUGGGGUGAGAAGGAUUGCCGGCUGGGGAUGGGCCCGCGGCCUAUCAGCUUGUUGGUGGGGUAGUGGCCUACCAAGGCGACGACGGGUAGCCGGCCUGAGAGGGUGACCGGCCACACUGGGACUGAGACACGGCCCAGACUCCUACGGGAGGCAGCAGUGGGGAAUAUUGCGCAAUGGGCGGAAGCCUGACGCAGCGACGCCGCGUGGGGGAUGACGGCCUUCGGGUUGUAAACCUCUUUCGGCAGGGACGAAGCGCGAGUGACGGUACCUGCAGAAGAAGCACCGGCCAACUACGUG
rnacentral:rRNA from 1 species